CGGCAACAUUUCCCCUCUUUGCCCAGGAUAACAGAAAGUGUUAAUUCAUCAUGGGUCACCCCCUCACAUUUGUCCAUGGAAAGGAGAAGAGGUUGGGAAAGAAAAGCUUGGGUCAGCAUGAGAUACUGGACACACGUUGCAAACCAGCAGGCGACCCUUGCGAGAAGAGUGGCCCCCAGUAACGUAAUGAAGAUUUCUGAUGCAAUGCAGGAGAUCCUGGCAAAUGAUUGCAAAUUAGCAGCAUACGAAUGCAAACACCACAGGACAGCCCUUGACUCAUUACAAAGCAAAAAUAAACCUGAUCAGCAGCCACGGGAGCAAAGGAAAAAAUAACUCUGCUUUGGAAUCUGUUUGUCUAACGGCUCCCCCUGAACCCGCCUUUGCCCACCACUGGGUGUACAAAGUGUCCUGCAGCAGGAACAGCUAGAGCAUGUGCUCAGCGGCACAUCGCCGGGAAGCCGGGCUUCGCUGGGUGAUACAAACGGACCAGGAGGAUGAAUUACUAUCGAUUUGCAUUUACCAUUAAAAAAAAAUCUAUCUACCGAAUCAAGCUGUCUUCUUUUUCGGUGAAAUGAAAUAUAUCCCAAUGGGCGAGAGAUGGUAAUGAUGCAACUAAACUUUACCCAAUAUGCAGCGUUUGUUACCCGCCACUCUGACUGUUGGAAAGCUCCUAUAUUUUUCGGGGCGGAAAUGUAAUUUCUAUACGCAAUUAAUUGAGGUUUCGUUUUGCAACAUCUUCUUGCAGAUCCUGAUUUUCAACGGUACCUUUUAAUGUGGUGUUUUACCAUCAAUCCUUUCUACCCGUAUAAAUCUAGUUUUAUCUGUAUCUAUGGAACUGUAAAAACAGGUGUGGUGUUACAAAACUGACCUUCCUAUCGGGACAAAUGUUCUUUGCGAUAAAACACUGUCAUCGCUGCUU